rnacentral:lncRNA from 1 species
UGUACCCUGAAUGUCGGAUUCCCUCCAUGGUAGGUAAUCUUUACACAUCACAAACUGAAGCUAUGUGUCUUGUGCAGCAGAUGUUAAGUUGACUGCACGCAUUUAUCAAGUAACAAUAAAUAACUGUAUCAUAAGGAAAACAUAAUUAAAACAAAAUUGUAUUCUGAUUUAUGCUCCAGGCUGUGUAAAUUUGGGUUUCAGUUCUUUUCAGGAUACAGUAAAAUAUGUAUUGUUAAUUGCAAAUCAGAAAAGAAACAUGGUGGCUGACCAAUGUGGAAAGCUACAUAGACGACUGACUUUUCAAGUCAUGCAUGCAUGUGUAACCACCGAAAGCUAUGUGUAGUGGAGAAUAUGGGAAAGCAAGGACGACUGACUUUUGCACUGAAGUCAUGAGAUGAGUGGCUAAGAAUUUCCUACCCUACAAAUAAAUUACAACCACGAGGGUAAGAUCGUGCACUGAAGUCAUGUAUAGCUUGUUUUUUCAAAACGUGUUCUUGGUAUAGCAUUUGCAGACGACAAUGCCUGUGGAAAAAAGAGGGCAGGAUAGCAACUUUUACCUCACUGCAGAUUAAGUUAAAUAGCAUUGCAGUCUGCUCCUGCAAGCACAGAGAAGCACCCAUCUCAGAUGAAGUUCUUCCUCCUCUGUUUCCUCCUCUGUUUUGGCCUCAAGCCUGCGUUUUUCACUGCAGCAAGCGAUGACCAACUCUUGUACCAUGGCUUCACAGCCGGUACCAACCUCACCGUCGACGAGGCUGCUUCAGUCACGCCGAACGGACUCCUUGAGCUAACCAAUGGCUCGCUUGGUUGCAAAGGUCAUGCGUUCUACCCAACUCCGUUGCACUUCCGCAAAUCGCAUAAUGAUACAGUGCAAUCUUUCUCAGUCGCCUUCGUGUUUGCCAUCCACUCUAGCUACCCCAUCAUGAGCCGACAGGGCUUGGCUUUCGUUGUCGCCCCAAGCAUGAACUUCUCAACUGCAUUGGCCAACCAAUACUUGGGCCUCAUGAACUCCCAGAACAACGGCAACUUGAGCAACCACAUCUUCGCCAUCGAGCUAGACACCGUCCUAAACAUCGAGUUCAAAGACAUCAACACCAACCAUGUAGGUAUUGACAUCAACAGCCUCCAGUCUAUAGAGUCCAACUCUGCAGGAUAUUAUGAUGAUAGGAACGGUACCUUCCAAGACAUGGUUCUUGCUAGUGGUGAUGCAAUUCAAGUGUGGGUGGACUACAAUGGUGAAGCCAAGAAAAUCAGUGUGACCAUGGCUCCCCUUCAAAUGGCAAAACCUACAAGGCCACUCAUAUCGACAAAUUAUGACCUCUCGAGUGUGUUGCAAGAUCCAUCCUACAUCGGCUUCUCAUCUUCAGGUGGAGAGGUCGACUCAAGACAUUAUGUACUUGGUUGGAGUUUUGGGAUGAACAAACCAGCCCCACUGAUCAAUUCUGUGAAGCUGCCAAAACUACCUCAGCCAAAGCAUCAAUCAAAGCUGCUGAAAAUCAUCCUACCUAUAGCGAGCGCAAUCUUCGUAUUUGCUGUGGGUUCUAUGGUCAUUUUACUAGUGAGGAGAAAAUUGAGGUAUGCUGAGCUAAAAGAAGAUUGGGAGAUCGAGUUCGGGCCACAUCGGUUCUCAUACAAGGAUUUGUUCCAUGCCACAGAAGGAUUUAAGAACAAACACCUACUUGGUGCAGGAGGAUUUGGGAAGGUAUAUAAAGGGGCCCUUCCAUCAACAAAACUAGAGGUUGCUGUGAAGAGGGUAUCGCACGAGUCCAGACAGGGUCUAAAGGAGUUUGUUGCUGAGGUUGUCAGCAUUGGCCGCAUCCGACAUCGUAACCUUGUUCAGUUACUUGGCUAUUGUAGGAGAAAAGAUGAACUCCUUUUGGUGUAUGACUACAUGUCAAAUGGUAGCCUUGAUAAGUAUUUGUAUUGUGAUGAUCCAAUGCUUAUACUAAACUGGGUUCAGAGGUUUCGGAUAAUAAAGGAUAUUGCAUCAGGCUUGCUGUACCUCCAUGAAAAAUGGGAGAAAGUGGUCAUCCACCGUGACAUCAAAGCAAGCAACGUACUCCUUGAUAGUGAAAUGAAUGGGAGGCUAGGUGACUUUGGCCUUGCAAGACUUUAUGAUCAUGGAACUGAUAUGCAGACCACACAUGUGGUUGGUACCAUUGGGUACCUAGCCCCAGAACUGAUAUGCACAGGUAAGGCAACUCCUCUCACUGAUGUGUUUGCCUUUGGGAUUUUCCUUCUUGAGGUUGCCUGUGGGCAAAGGCCAGUUAACAGCAAUGCACGAGCAAAUCAACCUUUGUUAGUUGAUUGGGUUCUUGAGCAUUGGAAUAAGGGAUCACUGGCUGAGGCAGUAGAUACGAGGUUACAGAAUGACUAUAAUGUUGACGAGGCAUGCCUAGUGCUAAAGCUAGGACUACUAUGUGCACACCCAUUUACCAAUGCAAGGCCCAACAUGCAGAGUAUCAUGCGGUACCUUGAUGGCGAUUUGCAAUUCCCUGACUUAACAGAUACAGACAUGAGCUUCAGCCUGCUCUCUCAAAUGCAGGGUGAAGGGUUUGACCGUUAUGCAUUGUCAUAUCUUUCAUUAAACACGAGCAUUGGCACAAUAUCUGGUCUUUCAGGAGGAAGAUGAUAUCAAUCUUGGUUGAUGUUAUAAUUAUAAUAUAUCUGAGCUUGCAUGCCACAUAUUAUAUUUAGUACCAAAUCAUGUAAUGUUUGGGGCUAGGUUAGACUUCUCAGAGGCUUUUCUUACUGUGAGGGUAGUGCGUAAUUGCUUUUCGAAUGGUGUUUACAGCUCAUAAUUUUAAUAACUAAACGAAGAAGCUACCUGCGUACUUGUGGGUUGAUUUACAUAUGCAUCAUUCAGUUGCUUAUCACGUGGUGUUUCACAGCCCACAAAUAAAUACUAUCUUUGCAUUAAUGGGUUGAUUUACAUGUAUUAUUCAGUUGCUUAUUGCAUGGUGUUUUACAGCUCACAAAUAUAUAUGUAUACGACAUAGAAAUUGUGGGAAGUGAGGCCGCGUUUAUAUAUUAAUUAGUUACAAACAGAGUGUAGGAUUGCAGCCAUCUCCACCAUUAGAGAUGACGCACAACGAAGCGGUGGCGGUUCUGCAGCCUAUCUCCCCUUCUCCAACAACCUAAUGACGCCGCCGCCCCUUCGCAAGCUGCCCCCAUCACACCUCCUUCCUCCCGUGACCGCUCAGCAGCCCCACGAUGCCAUCCCACUAUUGGCACCAAGUGUUACCAAACCGCGAGCUCGCCACCAUGCCUGUUAUUCUGUCCAGCCUGACUAGAGGUCGGUUGUGGGCCUACACAGUUCCUCCUCUCAUCACCACCGCUCGUGCUGCAAAGCUGACGCAUGAUGUCUGAUCUCAUCAUGUAUGAUAUAGGCAACACAAGUGGAGUGCCAAACACUACCCCCACUGGCACAAUCCUAGAUGUACUUAAUCUUUCAACCCCACCCACAUUUAAGUCCAACAGCAGGCAACUUUAAAACAAAAUGAGAAGAGUCUAAAAUACUUUAUUUAGCUUAAGUGGCAACUUAGCAAGGACUGAAAAUACAGGCUGGCUGGCUUCACAGGAAUAUUAUACUAUAACCACUAGCUCAGACCAGUACGCAGAGAUGGCAAUACAUGUCAGUGUGCCAGACUAGAACAAAAGCCAAAAUGAUUUCAUGAAAUGCAAACCAAGACUAGAAAGUUACCAGCUGCUCUUGGCGGAGGUCAUCUCCCUCUCUGAAAAUUAUCUUGGAUGAUUCCCCAUUCGCUGUCUUAAAUGUAAAGACACGGUGGAUUUUAAGGCACUCUUGAAUACGGAUGACUCUUUGGUGAAACACUAGUAAGGACAAGUGUAGCUGCUAACAGUGAAUGAAUUGGCUGAAACGAAAUUACCAAAUUAAAUCAAUUAA